GGAGUGGUGGCAGAGUCUGGUUUAUUGCACCUGUCUUGAAAACAGACGAACUGAGAAGUUCCGUGGGUUCAAAUCCCACCCACUCCCCCA
rnacentral:tRNA from 1 species